AUUGCAGACAGACCAGCAGUAUGCUGUCCUGCUCCUGUGAUCGACCCAGUCCCUGGAAGAGCAGGACCACCAGGUACAGCCGGCCGCCCACCAUGCAUCUGCAGUAGGGAAUAUAAUCCUGUGUGCGGUAACGAUGGGAAAACCUACAGUACCCGAUGUACACUUGACUGUGCCAAA